CCAAUUUGGAGAAAUGGAAAGCAAGAUACCUUUGGGAUCUUGGGCUACUGGAAGAUUAUGAACCCCUCCACUGGUGUGUUUAUUUCUGAUCAGGUAUUAAUGCUACAUUACUAAAGACCAAAGACCUACUUGCUUCUUCCGACUCUCCCAUGAAAAUAUUUUAUACAGGCAACUCUCAUCUGUUGUACAAGUACUUAAAGAGAGCUUGUGAAGAAGGUGAAUUUAGGAGCAAUGAGUCUGAAAUGAUCUCCAUAAAGAUCCAGAUCCCUGUGAGAGAGACGGAGAAACUGCAGCAUGGUACAAGCUACUAUUUUGCUAAAGGUCAUGUUAAAAAUGAGGGUAGAAAAUUGACUGAUUACAAAAUCAUACUUCACUAGUCCUAAUAUGUUUGUACAUACAUAUACGGAGAAUAUAUAGCAGAAUAUAGGUAAUAUUAAAUGUUUGGUAGACCCUCAUUUCCAUUGCUCAGUACCAGUUGCUUCUGAGGAAGGUAGUAAAUUCUUCUUUGCAGAUAGUAAUGUAAAGAGAGACUGUGCCUUCAUAACCCUUAAAGAAGGUUAUUGUCGGUGUUACAAGCUAGAUUAUAUUAAAGAUACAUUCAGAACAAACUUCAGUUCCUUUUAAUGCUAUUCAUCUGAGCUAUCAGAUUCCUAGAAAAUGUCUCUCUC